GACUUUUGACUCGGGCCGACAGCGAUCGAGAAUGGUCGAAGAAGGUCUCCGACCUUCAGUAACAGCUCCAGGAUGUCGAGGCGAGCUAUGAUGCGUAUCGGGCCGACUGACGCAAGCAGGUGGACGAAUACAAGGGGAGGCUCAGGAUGGCGACCGACGAGGUUGCCCACCUUCAAAGACAGCUAGCUGGAGGGGCUCAGCUUGCUCCCGCUCGGGAUUCCAGCGAACUCCAAUCCCUGAGA
rnacentral:lncRNA from 1 species